rnacentral:snRNA from 1 species
AGCUCUGGCUCAUCUGCAUUUUCGUACAAAUCUUUCGCCUUUUACUAAAGAUUUCCGUGCAGGUGAACAAAUUGAAGAGUUUGAGUAAUUUUUCACCGGCUGAACGAAAGUUUGGCCU